CUUUAGGUCCUGUAUCAAUAGAGGUAGACGACCCUACUGUAGACGACCCUACUUUAGGUCCUGUAUCAAUAGAGGGAGACGACCCUACUUUAGGUCCUGUAUCAAUAGAGGUAGACGACCCUACUGUAGACGACCCUACUUUAGGUCCUGAAUCAAUAGAGGUAGACAACCCUACUUUAGGUCCUGUAUCAAUAGAGGUAGACGACCCUACUUUAGGUCCUGUAU